rnacentral:lncRNA from 10 species
GGUAUCCAUGUUGGAAUCUCUCAUUUGAUUCUUAUUCAAAUUUAGGUUCUGUCAAUAGAAGAUACUAAAGAAAGAAAGCCAGGAGAAGAAAAGGGACUUCUUUCUUCAAGGUCUAAGCUGUUCUAAUAGCAUUAUUCUGGGAAUGGCAUCUUCCACUCCUCCUAGUACAAAGAACCUGCUUCCUCAUACCCCGUCAAGGAACUGCAGCAUCCAGGUGAUGGCCACAGUGGCAGAACCUAGGAAGCCAAGAAGAAACCAGAGAAUGGAGACACAUGGCAGCAAUGGCAAGUCAUCAGACCCAGGAUUUCCCAAAGAACACUGGUCCAGGAAGAUGCUCUGUGAAAAAGUGUUCCCUGGUCGGAGAAAUUUGUGAAACACUUUGCAUAAUACUUAAAAGAAUGUAUGGCACAUCAAAGGUAAUAUGCAAUAAAAGAAUUCAUUUUUUUAAAACCAAGCAUA